rnacentral:rRNA from 1 species
UACGUAGGGUGCGAGCGUUGUCCGGAAUUAUUGGGCGUAAAGAGCUCGUAGGCGGUUUGUCGCGUCGGCCGUGAAAACUUGGGGCUUAACCCCAAGCCUGCGGUCGAUACGGGCAGACUUGAGUUCGGCAGGGGAGACUGGAAUUCCUGGUGUAGCGGUGAAAUGCGCAGAUAUCAGGAGGAACACCGGUGGCGAAGGCGGGUCUCUGGGCAUUAACUGACGCUGAGGAGCGAAAGCAUGGGGAGCGAACAGG